UUUGCUAAUAUAUUCCCCGAGUUGAAAGGCGAAAAAUUGGUCAAUGGUUUCCAAGUGGGAGGCAAGACCAUUCGUAUAAAACAUGGCUUGUAUGGUUGUUGAGUUAUCAGUUGAUCGUUUUUGAUUAUUCGUAUUACACAGAAUAACUAUAAAUCAGCAAUAAUGUUCAAACUUAAAUUGUUCAUCUUCGUUGUGUUGGUCACCAUGGUGGCUGUGAACGUGAUGGAAACCGAAGCCGUGCCAGCGGAAAAAGCCGAAUCCUACCAAAACCAAAACUUGAAAGCUCAUCAUCCAACCAAAGUCGAAAUCGUGAUCAAAAAGGAGAAGAAAGAAGGUGGCGGUUCUUGAACCCGUCUAUGCCUGUUGGAWCGCCUUGAUGCCUUAACGGAGACAGUUAAUUAAUUUAUUUCCAAAUUUGUUAAGUUUCUGUUUUGUUUCCUGCUUGUUUGUUUGCUACAUAAAUCRUUUGCGCGCAAUAA